ACUCAAGGACAUACUUUACUACCUCAAAAGCUCCCAGCACUCUAAUAUUAGUUCUAGAAUUUAGGCUAUUCACUCAUGUGUCAAAAAUAGCUUCUCUAUCACAAUUGAAGGAUAGAGUAUUCAGAAGUGACAGAAGGCGACAUUUGAAGUCCCUUGACCAUCCAGCUAGUGACCACACUCACUAAUGGAUGGUGCCCCAAGAAUAAUGAAUGAGAGCAUUACCUCUAAAGUAGAAUGAAAAAGAAGUGACAGAAAAUAAGUAAAAACAUUGAAGUUUAUUUAAUGAACAUUUCAUUCUGUGUAUAAUGUACUUUAUUUUAUCUUGUGUGAUUAUAUGUUCUUGGGUAGCACAGGUCAGGUAUAAAUUCUUUUGGAUGGGAAGAAUUCAAUAUGGAGUAAAAUAGUUGAGAUAUUUUUUCCUUUUUCUUUCCUUUAUGAGGCCAUGUCCAGCAAGAUGUCUCCAUGAAGCACUUUUCUAACUCUCUCUUUUUUGGCCACUCUUUCUUCCUAUGAGCUCCCUCUUGCUGAGCAAUCUCCACAGUAUGGCCACUAUCAAUGAAACUAAUUAUACCAACUUUACCCCACCUCCAAUAAAUGUGGCUAAAGCUGUUUGUUUUUGUUAUGUGCUGUUUGUCCUCUUCAAUUUUAGGAACUCAAGUUGAGUCUCCAAAGAAUGCAAGAUUUCAAGUCAUGAAGACAUUAAAACUAAGAUUGCUGGAAAAAUAGUACAGUCAGUCAGCCAAGAAUGGAAGCCUUAAGAAGCCAAAGUACAUGGGAUUCAAGCUUAAGCAAGGUUUUGGACUAGGAAUUGGGACUAUGCUCCAUAGAAACUGAGUUAAGAGCCUCACAGACACUGAGCUAGCUCUGGCAAUAUGUGUGCCAAACUUGUUGUGUAUGUAUACAUCCUUGGAAAGCAUAUUGCCAAGAGACAAUAUAUUUCACUUGGAGGAAACAUCACCUACAAUACAAAGUAAAUACAAAACAUUAAGUAAGUAAAAAAUUAUGGGGGUGGGGAG